rnacentral:lncRNA from 1 species
AGCCUUCCUAAGAAAGCAACAACUUGUUAUUGACACUAAGGCUGGCCACUUGGAAAUGAAUUACUCAACGCAUGUCAAGUUGAAGAUGGAUUAUGUUUCUUGGCCCCAGAGGGCAGAAUUAAGAACUAUAGAAUGAAAUUUGGCUCAAUGACUCAUGUUCAAGAAUGCCCAUUCUACGUCACUAUCACCCCAAAAUGUAGCAAGCAAAUCCAGCAAGGCUUCUGCUCCCACAAGGCUUCAGCGGUUGCCUCACUGUACUGUGUCAGAGGACAGCUGGGCAGUGCAGUCACUCCCCUGCUAGAUAGCAGCAGUGAAAAUGCUGAUGAAACUCUCAUUCCAAUAAAAAGACAAAGAAAAAUAUGUUGCUGCUUCUUGGCUACCCUUGGGUCUCGAUCUUGCUUUGUUUCUGGAAAAUGAAGUUUUGCCAUAACACAACUAGCUGGAGCACAAGAUUUUCUUACUUUUUCUGAUCUACAAGCAACAGACUGGUUUGAAGUAGCCUGAAG